AAUAGAUACCCGGGUAGUCCACGCCGUAAACGAUGAGUGCUAAGUGUUAGAGGGUUUCCGCCCUUUAGUGCUGCAGCUAACGCAUUAAGCACUCCGCCUGGGGAGUACGGUCGCAAGACUGAAACUCAAAGGAAUUGACGGGGGCCCGCACAAGCGGUGGAGCAUGUGGUUUAAUUCGAAGCAACGCGAAGAACCUUAUCAGGUCUUGACAUCCUCUGACAACCCUAGAGAUAGGGCUUUCCCCUUCGGGGGACAGAGUGACAGGUGGUGCAUGGUUGUCGUCAGCUCGUGUCGUGAGAUGUUGGGUUAAGUCCCGCAACGAGCGCAACCCUUGAUCUUAGUUGCCAGCAUUCAGUUGGGCACUCUAAGAUGACUGCCGGUGACAAACCGGAGGAAGGUGGGGAUGACGUCAAAUCAUCAUGCCCCUUAUGACCUGGGCUACACACGUGCUACAAUGGACGGUCAAAGGGCUGCAAGACCGCGAGGUUUAGCCAAUCCCAUAAAACCGUUCUCAGUUCGGA
rnacentral:rRNA from 1 species